rnacentral:rRNA from 1 species
GACGAACCGUGCGAACGUUGUUCGGAUUCACUGGGCUUAAAGGGCGCGUAGGCGGGCAGGCCAGUCCGGGGUGAAAGCCCCCGGCUCAACCGGGGAACGGCCUUGGAUACUGCUUGUCUGGAGGGGGGUAGGGGCACGCGGAACUUCCGGUGGAGCGGUGAAAUGCGUUGAUAUCGGAAGGAACGCCGGUGGCGAAAGCGGCGUGCUGGACCCCAUCUGACGCUGAGGCGCGAAAGCCAGGGGAGCAAACGGG